CCCUUAGAUGUUCUGGGCUGCACGCGCGCUACACUGAAGCGUUCAACGAGUAUUCACCUUGCCCGGGAGGGUUGGGUAAUCUUUUGAAAACGCUUCGUGAUGGGGAUAGAUUAUUGCAAUUAUUAAUCUUCAACGAGGAAUUCCUAGUAAGCGCGAGUCAUCAGCUCGUGCUGAUUACGUCCCUGCCCUUUGUACACACCGCCCGUCGCUCCUACCGAUUGAGCGAUCCGGUGAAUAAUUCGGACUGCAGCACUGCUUGGUCUCCAGGCUUUGCAGCGGAAAGUUUAGUGAACCUUAUCACUUAGAGGAAGGAGAAGUCGUAACA
rnacentral:rRNA from 1 species